CCACGCUAGGCGGGGGGCUGGCGGUCCCCUGUACCCGAAAUCCGCCGUACGCGGGGCCGAAUUCCCACCCGAGGCUCUUCGGGUCGGGAAACGGCGUGACUCGGGGGCGAUGAAGACCGGGUCCCACGCAACGGAGCCCUGUGAACCUGGUCAGGCCCGGAAGGGAGCAGCCAUAAGCAGGUGUCUCCGUGUGCCGUGGGGGAGCCCGGUUGGAGCUUUCCGAUCACGCACGCCCCGGUCCGGAGAAGUCGACGGUGGGUGCGUGG
rnacentral:SRP_RNA from 1 species